GUUCAACACGUUUACUUUUUGUUCUUAGGAACACGGGGAUUCUUCCAUCCUAUAUUCUGAAAUUUGAAAAUUUUAUACAUUAAUUUAUUACUAUAUUAAAAAAAAAGAAUAGUGUGGUGAUUUAACGGUAGAAAUGAACUCGUUGUAUUGUGGAUUAUAAUAAUAUUAUUAUGUUCUUGACAUUUAAAUUUUUGGUUGGCUAAGUGUUUUUUAAAGGUUGUUUUGUGUUUUUUUAACUUAUUCUUGUUUUUUUGAUGAAAAAUUGCUUUUAGGAUGGAAAACGUAGAUGCUCAGCCACCACAUUUGUCAUCUUUCUUUCUUUUUUAAGGAGGGAAAUGAGAGAGAAAUGGUAGAAGAACAUAAGAAGAAGUUUGAGGAACCCUGCAAAUCCUAAAAGAAGUGGUAAAUUAAAAAAAAAAGAGGUGGGGAGGGAUUGACUCUUCGAUCCCUUUUACAAGGUUGGAUGAAAUGAACAAGGAGAGGGCUAGAAUAUGACGAGGAGAUGAGGUUUUUGAGUUAUUAUGGAUGUGGGAGGAGAUAUAGAGGAAGAAAUAGGGGUGGGCAUGGAGAAUCAAAGGGCGGUGUCUGCUUAACUGCUAGGUGAGAGGGUAAGCUUAGCUUUUGGGGCAUUGAUGGCAUGUCUAAGCUAGAGAUUUUACCGUUUCUAGCUUUCCACGUCCAUUUAGCUUUAACUUCAUAGUUCCAAGAAAAAAUGCCAAAAAACUCUGCAUUCUUGAAAAGGCAGCGACAAAUCUGCUUUCUCCUGGUCAAGAUCUAAUGAUGAACAUAAAAAUCAAGGUAUAACAAGAUGAAAAUAUUUCAAUUUGGGGGAAGCAAAAGCAUAUGUUAUUGCAAUUCUGGUAUUUUAUAGUGAAUAACAAACACGAGACAAGAUUAGUCCACCCGGACAGGAACCCGGCAAGACAUGAUCGUUUGACCCCGAAAGACACAAACUAGCACGACAAUCUCCGGCAUGCAAACUAGCUUAGCUAUCAACAGUAAAAGAGGAAAUAAAGAACUCAAAAGUCACAUGGAGUCAACUCUCUCUCUUUGCAGGCAAAUCACUAGUUUUCACAGUCUCUAGCUUUUUUUCAUCUUAUUUUUUCUUUUUUUUAUUGUACACAACUGGAUAGCAUCGCAGUACUUUCGUCUCGUGCCUCUCUUUUUUUUGCUCUCGUAGAAAACAAAAGAACUCUAAGGAAAGUUAAAAGACAAGGGAGAUAUACGAGACGCAAAAAGCUACAGGAAUCCAGGUGUUCGGAAUUAUA